GGAAUCUGGUGUGUUUCUAUCCAAUAUAGAUGCCUCCUCUGACUCCUUGGUGGAUUUAGGAAAACAGGUCCUAGAACAAUUACAAAACAGACUGGAACAGGCUUGCCAGCAACAGCCGUUGGACCUUGACAAUGUGGAGUUUAUCACUACAAGUGCAAUGACUCUGAUACUCUCCCUUUCAGCUCAUCUAAACUUUCCACUAUCGGUACUUGAAGGUCUGGAACAGCUUAUUGCCCUCAUUCAAUCUGAAAUGGACAGGAGGCGGCCAGCUAUUAUAGUCGACAGGAUAGCUAGUGCACGGGGACGCCCCAGGCUGAGCAUUUCUAACGACCAUCUUCAAGACCUAAUUGAGAUGGACCUUUCUGUGUCUU